rnacentral:rRNA from 1 species
CCUACGGGAGGCAGCAGUGGGGAAUAUUGGGCAAUGGAGGAAACUCUGACCCAGCGACGCCGCGUGCGGGAUGAAGGCCUUCGGGUUGUAAACCGCUUUCAGUAGGGAAGAAGCGAAAGUGACGGUACCUACAAAAGAAGCACCGGCUAACUAUGUGCCAGCAGCCGCGGUAAUACAUAGGGUGCAAGCGUUGUCCGGAAUUAUUGGGCGUAAAGAGCUCGUAGGUCGUUUGUUACGUCGGAUGUGAAAACCUGAGGCUCAACCUCAGGCCUGCAUUCGAUACGGGCAAACUAGAGUUUGGUAGGGGAGACUGGAAUUCCUGGUGUAGCGGUGGAAUGCGCAGAUAUCAGGAGGAACACCAAUGGCGAAGGCAGGUCUCUGGGCCAAUACUGACACUGAGGAGCGAAAGUCUGGGGAGCGAACAGGAUUAGAUACCCUGGUAGUCCAGACCGUAAACGGUGGGCACUAGUUGUGGGAACCUUCCACGGUUUCUGCGACGCAGCUAACGCAUUAAGUGCCCGCCUGGGGAGUACGAUCGCAAGAUUAAAACUCAAAGGAAUUGACGGCNGAGACGUGCGACGACGACGACGAGGAGAG